GGUAAAAUGGCUGAGUAAGUAUUAGGCUGUAAACCUAAAGAUGGGGGUCUANGUCCUCCUUUUACCA
rnacentral:tRNA from 2 species